ACCCGGUUCACUGCUUUCAGAUCC
rnacentral:siRNA from 1 species